GAUGAAGAACGUAGCGAAAUGCGAUAAGUAAUGCGAAUUGCAGAAUCCGUGAGUCAUCGAAUCUUUGAACGCACAUUGCGCCCGCCAGUAUUCUGGCGGGCAUGCCUGUUCGAGCGUCAUUACAACCCUCAAGCCCCCCGGCUUGGUGUUGGGGACCGGCCACCGGUGCCCUGCUGCUUCCGCGGCAGGCGCGCCCGGCCGCCCCCGAAAUGAAUUGGCGGCCCCGUCGCGGCCUCCCUCUGCGUAGUAGCACACAUCUCGCAGCUGGAGCGCGGCGCGGCCACUGCCGUAAAACGCACCAACUUUUUUUUUACAGUUGACCUCGAAUCAGGUAGGAAUACCCGCUGAACUUAAGCAUAUCAAUAAGCGGAGGA
rnacentral:misc_RNA from 1 species